CCUACGGGUGGCAGCAGUGAGGAAUAUUGGUCAAUGGACGAGAGUCUGAACCAGCCAAGUAGCGUGAAGGAUGACUGCCCUAUGGGUUGUAAACUUCUUUUAUAAAGGAAUAAAACGAGGCACGUGUGCCUUUUUGCAUGUACUUUAUGAAUAAGGAUCGGCUAACUCCGUGCCAGCAGCCGCGGUAAUACGGAGGAUCCGAGCGUUAUCCGGAUUUAUUGGGUUUAAAGGGAGCGUAGAUGGGUUGUUAAGUCAGUUGUGAAAGUUUGCGGCUCAACCGUAAAAUUGCAAUUGAUACUGGCAGUCGUGAGUACAGUUGAGGUAGGCGGAAUUCGUGGUGUAGCGGUGAAAUGCUUAGAUAUCACGAAGAACCACGAUUGCGAAGGCAGCUUACUAAACUGUGACUGACAUUGAUGCUCGAAAGUGUGGGUAUCAAACAGGAUUAGAUACCCCGGUAGUC
rnacentral:rRNA from 1 species